UAUUUAAGCAAAUCCGUAGUAUGCGCACGCAAGUUGAACAGUUGUCGAAAAAAUAACUAGGAGCGUAAUUGCUUGAGUAAUAAAUGAAUUUGAAAGAAAUAAACGAAAUGAGUGAAAAUUCUGAAAUUAAUGAUCCGAAAGUAUAUUAGUCCUUAUCGCGAAUUUUUUUACACAGAAGUAAAUUGCGAUUAGUGAGAUAUAAUAUAGACCUAAUCUCAACUUAUCAGACUCGAUACAUAAAGCGAUAUUAAUGUUCCAUCGUGUCCUUAAUUUCGCAAUGAAUCAAACACUGAUAAUAAUAACAUAGUUUGUAGUUUUGUAAACUAAAAAGUCCAAAUCUAUUUGAUUAAAAUAAGAAAAAGGGCACAUCCUGUUCUAUCUAUGAGACAUAACAAACUUUCUUUGAUUAAGGCUUUUACAUCUCUUCGGAUAUCUAAAAUUCUUCACAUUCUUAAGACUCUUAAUUAAUACUUAAUAAUCCUUAACACUUAAGUAAACGUAACACACAAAGACAACGAUAGAAGAAGUCUCUACGUAGAAAGACCCUUUAUCUACUUCUCCUGUUCUCAUUUCUAUUCCCAUAUCGCAUCCGUUCACACGGUAACACGUGACUCGCAUACUGCCUUCAUAUUUCUCUGUGUAAUAGAACACGCGUAGAAGAUUAUCCAUUUUUACGAAUGUUACAAGCCCAAUUCAAAUACAAUUAAAUUCAACAAAAUCGGUAAAUGCUUCGCUUUCGGAUGUCCGAUUUUAAGCAACCGAAACCUCGCAUUGUAAUUAUUGCGACGAGGCGUCCAGGAGACUCCUUAUAUUCUCCUCUCUGGUAGCUGAUCGGUAGAUACUCCAGCCGCUCUCUCCUCCAGAGUGUGACUCAAGUGAUAAUACUCAUUUGUCACAAUAUUAUGUGUCUCGCGUACGUCCAGAAUCUACUCGUACUCCUCCUCUUGGAUAAUCCAGUUGUUCUCUUUAUUCCGGCGGAUGAAGCAAUUCUCUCUGUGCAUUCUCAAGCGUCCAGACAGUCCGAUGGUGCUCCUUCCCUGGAAGGCGACUACCGAAUAAUUCAGCCGCUGUUUCCAUUUCAAGGGUCGAGCCAGGUAGUCGUCUCUGUGCAUUUUUAGAAAGACAUUCUCUACAGCAUGGAAUGUGGCGUCCGGUGUCGCGACAGCGAUAGUUAUUUCCAGUUGUUGCUUGUCAACAAGUCGUGUUAUUAUGCAGGCAUCCAAGCGGAACCAUGCGAGCUAGAACCGUCUUGAGAUUUCUGUCGCGUCUCGUUAAAUGGGAGAAAACAACUGUUCCUCUCAUCGACGGCCGUUAAACUUGUAAUUUACAAACUAUCUGAGCAGAGCUGAAGGUUAUGCCAGCGACUCGGCUUAGCUGCCUACUCAGCAAAACCGCUUUGCGCGAGAUACAGCCGAAGCAAACCUGAGCAAGUUCCGUAGUCUAAAGAUUACAGACUCCGAUAAAUAUUAGGAAUAUAUACAUCCCGUACACAGCGUUUGUUGCAUUUACGAAUUCCCUGAGAGGUACGUCUCAGCGGAGAAAUACGUUGAAGUAAUCCACACCGAACGCAUCGAAAGGAUUGAAGUUGCACUUGGUAAUAAAGAACGAAAAACGGAAAGAGAAAAGGUCAAACAGAGAGAGAGAGAGAGAGAGAAAGAGGGAGAGAAAGAUCAGCGAUAAAGUGGUACUCCUGAGGACGAGUGAAGUGUUUGUGCCAGAGAAUGUAAGAAAGUAUGGAAAGGAGGAAACUGAACAUCUUGUAAUAGGUAUACCUCGAUUUGUUCAUUUAUCAGAGCAUAAUUUUACUUACUUCUGCUACAGAGAUUUCUAUUUCAUCUAUACUAAAAUUUGCCUUUACAAACGGAUAUACGCGAAUAUGAAACUGUUUUUCAUAUUUAUGCAAAUCUUAGAACAUUAGUAGCUAAUACAUAUGUAUA
rnacentral:lncRNA from 1 species